GGAGGGGUGUCCGAGCGGUUUAAGGAGGCGGUCUUGAAAACCGUUGAGUCCUUGACGGGCUCCGUGGGUUCGAAUCCCACCCCCUCCG
rnacentral:tRNA from 4 species